UACAGAGGUGGCAAGCGUUGUUCGGAAUUACUGGGCGUAAAGGGCGCGUAGGCGGUCUUUCAAGUCCCGUGUGAAAUCCCUCGGCUCAACUGAGGAACUGCACGGGAAACUGUCUGGCUUGAGUUCGGGAGAGGGAAGCGGAAUUCCGGGUGUAGCGGUGAAAUGCGUAGAUAUCCGGAGGAACACCGGUGGCGAAGGCGGCUUCCUGGACCGACACUGACGCUGAGGCGCGAGAGCUAGGGGAGCAAACGGG
rnacentral:rRNA from 1 species